rnacentral:rRNA from 1 species
CUGCGAAGGGGGGACGGAGAAGGCUAUGUUGGCCGGGCGACGGUUGUCCCGGUUUAAGCGUGUAGGCUGGUUUUCCAGGCAAAUCCGGAAAAUCAAGGCUGAGGCGUGAUGACGAGGCACUACGGUGCUGAAGCAACAAAUGCCCUGCUUCCAGGAAAAGCCUCUAAGCAUCAGGUAACAUCAAAUCGUACCCCAAACCGACACAGGUGGUCAGGUAGAGAAUACCAAGGCGCUUGAGAGAACUCGGGUGAAGGAACUAGGCAAAAUGGUGCCGUAACUUCGGGAGAAGGCACGCUGAUAUGUAGGUGAAGUCCCUCGCGGAUGGAGCUGAAAUCAGUCGAAGAUACCAGCUGGCUGCAACUGUUUAUUAAAAACACAGCACUGUGCAAACACGAAAGUGGACGUAUACGGUGUGACGCCUGCCCGGUGCCGGAAGGUUAAUUGAUGGGGUUAGCCGCAA